rnacentral:rRNA from 1 species
UACGGGGGGAGCAAGCGUUGUACGGAUUUACUGGGCGUAAAGGGCGCUUAGGCGGCGUGACUAGUCACUUGUGAAAUCUCCGGGCUUAACUCGGAACGGUCAAGUGAUACUGUCGUGCUAGAGUACAGAAGGGGCAACUGGAAUUCUCGGUGUAGCGGUGAAAUGCGUAGAUAUCGAGAGGAACACCUGCGGCGAAGGCGGGUUGCUGGGCUGAUACUGACGCUGAUGCGCGAAAGCCAGGGGAGCGAACGGG